GUGGGAGGUAGCUCAAGUUCGGAUGGCAACCUACAGACAGAAAGUCGCCCGCUAUUACAACUCUCGGGUCAAGAAUAAAGUCUUUAGAGCAGGAGAUCUAAUGCUUCGAUGAGCCGCCGUCUCGCAGCCUCAAGAUCGAGGGAAGCUCACCCCAAAUUGGGAAGGCCCAUACGAAGUCAAAGAAGUAGUCCGGCCCGGAGCUUACUACCUCAAG
rnacentral:lncRNA from 1 species